rnacentral:ribozyme from 1 species
ACAGCAACGCGGAGGAAAGUUCGGACUCCAUGGUGGCCGGAAAUUCGACAGCAUCCUUCGCCUCGUUAAAUAUUUCGGGAAAUAAGUACAAAAAGAAGUCGGCCAUGA